rnacentral:tRNA from 1 species
GCGUCCGUAGCUCAGUUGGUUAGAGCACCACCUUGACAUGGUGGGGGUUCGGUGGUUCGAGUCCACUCGGACGCACCA